AGCGAACGCUGGCGGCAGGCUUAACACAUGCAAGUCGAACGGGCACUUCGGUGCUAGUGGCAGACGGGUGAGUAACACGUGGGAACGUGCCUUUCGGUUCGGAAUAAUCCAGGGAAACUUGGACUAAUACCGGAUACGCCCUUCGGGGGAAAGAUUUAUCGCCGAAAGAUCGGCCCGCGUCUGAUUAGCUAGUUGGUGAGGUAAAGGCUCACCAAGGCGACGAUCAGUAGCUGGUCUGAGAGGAUGAUCAGCCACACUGGGACUGAGACACGGCCCAGACUCCUACGGGAGGCAGCAGUGGGGAAUAUUGGACAAUGGGCGCAGGCCUGAUCCAGCCAUGCCGCGUGAGUGAUGAAGGCCUUAGGGUUGUAAAGCUCUUUUGUCCGGGAAGAUAAUGACUGUACCGGAAGAAUAAGCCCCGGCUAACUUCGUGCCAGCCGCCGCCGUAACAC
rnacentral:rRNA from 1 species